rnacentral:lncRNA from 1 species
CAGAAGAGGGCAUCAGAUCCCACUACAGAUGGCUGUGAGCCACCGCGUGGGUGAACUCAGUACCAAGUGGUGUGGGUGAAUGGAGACCGUGUAGGAGAGUGCUUACACAGACUGAAAGGAUGGUUAUUUUCAGAAUACUGGUUUUGCUUUUUGGAAAGUGGUAUGUACUCUUCACAAGUCAGAUGUAAAAAUUCAUUAUUUAGACACAAUAGUAUUUUGUGAUUUUAAACUUUUGAAGUGUAUGUGUGCGUGUGUAUGUAUAUAUACAUACAUAUCUCAUUUCAUAAAGUUUUGUCAUAUUAAACUUAUUUUGAAUUUUUUCCAACUCAAAAUGACUAGAACAGUGUAUUUUCUGAGAGCAUAUUACCAGAUGCUGUCCCUUACCCAUCUGUAUUUGUGCUUGUGUGUGUGAGCCGCCCUACGACACCUUCAUUCUAAAGCUUGCAGUAUGUCUGUCCUAACACAAGGGUACUAAUGCCCAGUGCUGUGCCAUCAGCAGAUGUUAGCACUGCUGUCCACUUGUCCGCUCUAGACAUUCUUAAAAUCUCUCUAGCUGUCCCAGCAGCAUCCUUCAGAGCAAGUGAGGAGUGUCUUCCAUGUGCGUGAGGCCUCGCUGUGGCACUCAGCAGCCUGUGAUCUAAAGUAACGCCACCCCUACCCCUCUUCCCAUCCCGUCCCAUCCAUGUCCCCCACUCCCAGCCUCUGUUUAGUGCUUCUUUAAGCUUCAGGAUAAGUCUGGAACUUUUGGGGGUGGGGAGGACUUGACAGGAACUUGUGUAUAUAUGGCAGUUUUUUGUUGUUGGAAUUAUUUCCUCAUAAUUAAGUUCAUUUGUAUAUUUUUGGAGGUGAGUGAGUAUAGUCUUCUCACGUCCUUACAGGAAGGACCUUCACUGACUGAACUUACUGUCUUAUGUUGACCAUUGUCUCUUAGGAUGGGUAGCCAAGCUCCCAUGCUGUAAAGUUACACUUUGUUGUUCAUCAGGAAGUGCGAGAGGGCAUAAACUACUGUCAGCUUUUCUGUGAAGCUUCAGCGUUUGUUGGUCUUGCCAGAAUCGGUUAUCAGUAAGCUUGUUCCUAUGCGCUGGCCACAGUGAGCACUGCACAUACCCUCAUUCUCCUGUGUAGAGGGUGUAAGUGAAAUAGAGUCACAUGUGGUAAUGUGUAGCUGAGCCAUAGCAGAUGGUCAUCGUCUGUAAGCACACAUGGGACAGUUAGACAUCUCUAAGUGUAAUACGUCAGUCAGUCAGUGUCUUAGGAUCAGAAUAUAGCAGUGCCGUCACUUUAAGGUAGGCCUACCCUGCGGGGGCACUGCAAGUAUUAAACAGAAUCAGGGCAUCUAGAAGAUGAGUCAAACAGCUGAGUCACCAAACAGGACACCCCUGAGAGCCGUGCUAAGGGGAGUCAUAGCGAGAAGGAAGGGAAUGAACGUGACUAUUACGCUAAGCCCAGAGACUUAAUCUUGCAGAGUAGAUGAGGUGUGGCUGGCACAUUUGUUAACCCUGACGCUGGGAAGGAAGCUAAGGCCAGAGGUUUGAAAAAUGGGAAGUCAGCCUGGACUACAAAUUAAGACUUUGAAAAGAAGGGAAGUUGGAGCUAACUUCCUGGUGCAGGCGAAGGUACCGAAGGCUUGAACUAACGUCUGUUCGUCCGUUUGCUAGGUUGGAUAUCGACAGCCCCUAGUUGCCGUCCAGGUCAUAUUUGGGGCCGAUGCUACCAAGAAAGAAGUAACAAUUGAGUGCCAAAUUGAUGGAACCAGGAACCUAAAAAACAAGAAUGAACGUGACAAGUUCUUGGGACGAGUUUCAUUUAAAGUCAUAGCACAUGCCUAGGAGUAGGCUGUCUGCACAGAGUAAAUGUUGUGUUGUCUCCAUUCUGUAUCAGCUGGACCUGCCAUUCUAGGAUAUGAGGCCACCUGGGAGGAGGAAGUGGUAUGGGACACACUUGGGUGACAUCAUAACAUGCUUCCAGAUCAU